CGGUGCGGCUCAGGUGGGACCGGGAUGGAGGACCGGGAUAAGGGAGCGGGAUAAGGGAGUGUGUCCCGGCACUAACUCGUGGGCUGGGCGGCAUCGGCCCGGGCUAAGGCUAAACCCGACGUGCCUGAGGAAGCGGCACCGAGAUGCGGAGAGUCCUGCUCCGCCUGCACGGCCCUGGCAGCCUCUGUCCCUUCCUCCAUCCUUCCCUCUCUCCUUCCCUCCAUCCGUCCUGCUCCGCCCUGCGCCCGAUGAGCGAGUGCUUCUCUGCUUGUUCCUGGUAUCCUCCCUCCCUCUGUCCGUCCAUCACUCCCUCCAUCCGUCCCGCUCCCCCCUGCCCCGCACCUGCCGUGCAGGUGCUUCCCUGCCUCCCUGGCAGCCUCCCUCCCUCCGUCCCUGCCUUCCUUCUCUGCCUUCCUUCCCUCCCUGCCUCCCUCCCUCUCUCCCACUCCGCCUAGCAGGUGCUCCCCUGCCCGGCCGUGCCGGCCCCGUUCCCGCUGCUGAUGUUCGGGAUGGAAAAGGCUGAGACGGCCCGUGUGUUUAUUCAGGCAUUGGAACGGGUUGCCCGGGGAGGUGGUGGAGUCGCCAUCCCUGGAUCUGGCGCUGGGUGAUGCAGUUUUUGGGGUUACGGUGGUGGACGGUUGGACUGGAUGGUCUUAAAGGUCUCUUCCAACCUUCCUGAUUCCAUGAUUCUGUCAAUAUCCCUGUAUCCACACCUCCCUGCUGCCGCUUUGGCUCUUUUGUGCCCUCCUCUUAAUAGUUUCUUGUUGUUUUUCUUUUAAGGUGACCUCCCAGAUUUCUGUAUGGGGGAUUUUGUACCCGGCUGAACUCCCGCUAAGUAGCAGCUGCUUGGUUAAAUAAGGUCUCCCAAGGAUAACAUUGUUAAUCUCCAAAGAUGACAGCUGUUGCAGUGCUAGAGGAGGUGCUGGUUUCUAUUGAGAAUGAGCUGCAAGCAGUGGAGAUGCAGAUACAGGAGCUUGUGGAUAAACAGCAGGAACUCAUUCAAAAGAAGAAGAGAGUGAAGGAUCUGAUAAAACAAUCCUCAGGAGACGUGGAGGCAGGUGGAAGUAAAGACACUGAAACCUCAGCCGAGGCAUGGAACAAAAAAGAUUUUCCAUGGUAUGAGAAGAUAAAAACUGCACUGCAGGGCAAAUUUAAACUCCAGAAGUUUAGGUCACUGCAACUUGAAACAGUAAAUGCUGCAAUGGCAGGAAAGGAUAUAUUUCUUGUCAUGCCUACAGGUGGUGGCAAGAGCCUUUGCUACCAGUUACCAGCUGUCUGUUCUGAUGGUUUCACACUCGUGAUAUGUCCUUUGAUAUCUCUUAUGGAAGAUCAGCUCAUGGUUUUGGAACAGCUUGGAAUUUCUGCAGCUUUAUUAAAUGCCUCAAGCAGCAAGGAGCACGUGAAGUGGGUCCACAGCGAAAUGCUAAACAGGAAUUCACAACUGAAGCUCAUUUAUGUGACCCCAGAGAAGAUUGCAAAGAGCAAGAUGUUCAUGUCCAAGCUGGAGAAGGCUUACCAGGCCGGGUGUCUGGCUCGUGUUGCUGUGGAUGAGGUCCAUUGCUGUAGUCAGUGGGGCCAUGACUUCAGGCCUGACUACAAGUCUCUUGGUAUCUUGAAAAGACAGUUUCCCAAUACUCCCUUGAUUGGACUGACAGCAACAGCUACAAAUCAUGUUUUAAAGGAUGCUCAGAAAAUUUUGCAUGUUCAGAAGUGCAUUACCUUUACUGCCUCGUUCAACCGGCCCAACCUGUACUAUGAGGUUCGGCAUAAGCCUUCAAAUAAUGAAGAUUUCAUUGAGGACAUAGUUAAAACCAUUAAUGGAAGAUACAAAGGACUGUCAGGAAUUGUUUACUGUUUUUCUCAGAAGGAUUCUGAGCAGGUUACUGUGAGUUUGCAGAAACUGGGAAUCAAGGCAGGGACUUACCAUGCAAACAUGGAUGCUAAAUAUAAAACCAAAGUUCAUAAAGGAUGGGCAGCAAAUCAAAUCCAGGUUGUAGUGGCAACUGUUGCUUUUGGCAUGGGAAUUGAUAAACCUGAUGUGAGGUUUGUAAUUCAUCAUUCUAUGAGCAAAUCCAUGGAGAACUACUACCAAGAGAGUGGACGUGCAGGUAGAGAUGACCAAAAAGCUGACUGCAUUUUGUAUUAUGGUUUUGGAGAUAUAUUCAGGAUCAGCUCAAUGGUAGUGAUGGAAAAUGUCGGGCAAGAGAAGCUCUAUGAUAUGGUAUCUUACUGCCAAAAUAUGAACAAGUGUCGCCGGGUGCUCAUAGCCCAUCACUUUGAUGAGGUGUGGGAUUCUGCAAACUGCAACAGAAUGUGUGAUAACUGCUGCAGAGAGAACGCAUGUGAGAAGAUGGAUGUAACAGGAUACUGCAGGGAUCUAAUCAAGAUACUUGAGCAAGCUGAAAGCAUGAGUGAGAAACUCACCCCACUGAAACUAAUUGAUGCAUGGUCUGGGAAAGGUGUGUCCAAGUUCAGGGUGGCUGAAGUUACUCCACCAAAGCACCCUCGAGAGGAACUGGAGAGAAUUAUUGCCCAUCUACUGCUGCAGCAGUAUCUGAAGGAAGACUUCAGCUUCACGGCAUUCGCUACAAUAUCCUACCUGAAGGUGGGACCCAAAGCCCAUCUGCUGAGAAACGAGACCCAUGUCAUCACUAUAGAGGGGAUAACAAACAGGAAGAGUGUUCACAAGGUCAAACCAUCUCAACCUUCAAAUUCGAAAGGAAGCAGCGAAAAUGCUCAGACUGUUUCAAAGGCUGUCCAGGAUUCAGUGGGGAAGAAGUUACAGGAGCAUAAGCGGCCUGGCUGUGGGUCUAACUUAAAAGCAAAGAAGCCAAAGCUUGAGGCAGGUGGAGUUGACCAACCAGUGGUUAUUGACUGAGUUUUACAGACUGCAUUUAGGAUCUAAUCACGUUUACUUCUCCAUGGACAAUGCACCCAUAUUCCAGGUGGUGAGAGCUCUGAGCAUCCUGUAUCCUAAAACUGUUCAUCUGAGCCAGCUGGACAGAGCUGUGGCAGGUACUCACUGGUGUGAGCAGUGGAGUGGUGCCAGUGGGAUGGCAACAGGCUGCCUGACUGCUUGUAAACAUUCACCUGAGCACAUGGUUUAAAGAAGCAGAGGCUUUCCUGACCCUGGCCACGACUCAGCUCACCCAAGGCUGGAGGAGCUUUUGGCAGGUAAGGCCACACCUUCACAUAAAGGCAUCCUGGCUCCUGUGGUGGCUCAUGGGCUGAGCUGAGGGAGAUGCCCAGAAAUGAGCCAUAGGGAAACUGGGCUCUGGUAACCACAGCAGGUGGAAUGGGUGGUUUGGGGAAGGGAGCUACGAGGCAGGCAUGGGAUUUAACAUGUUUUUCUUGCCUUUAAAAAGGCUCCCUCACGUUCCAGUGAACACAGCACUGUCUUAAAAUGUGGCUUUCGCUGUGCUGCUGAGGCUGUUACAGCCCUGUUUUCACAUGCUCAUCUACACAAAAAGUGUUUGCCAACACCAACCCACUUGCUUUUGUUGCUGCACUUCUACACAGAUUAAGCUGCCAGUCAGUAUUUUGACAAGAUCAACACAAAAUCUUAAUAGGGAAUUUCGUUUAUCCCUCAUUUCUGGUAAUCCCGAGAAAACAAUUUUACUUUGUAUCAAAACUAUACAAAAUGGAAAUGAGGUUUUGUUCAAUCAAAAUAAUCUUCUAUAUCGACAUCUGGGUUCAGGAGAUCUUCACCAUAGGCUGAAAGAUCCAUCUGAUUUAAAAUUAAGUUUUCAAAGGUUUCUUCCAAGUCCGUUUCACCGAUCAGCACAGCUCCCACCAUUCGGCCAUUCUGCAUCACUACCUUCACGUACUCCUGUCCCUUGGUACAUCUCAGCAUCAGUUCAUGGUCUGAGCCCAAGCCCUGAGCAUUGUACUUCCCCAAAACCACCACCUAACAGAAGGAAAAGGAGAAAGGAAAAGCGCUCAUAAGAACAUUGCAGUGGCUUUUAGUAUUUCUGCUGCCAGCAGUUCUAGGCCUCAAAAGACUGAUGUAAACAGGGAAGUAUUUGUCCUUAGGGACCCUCCCAUAACAAAACCCACAACAGACUCAAAACUCUUCACCUUGAAAUAUCAUACACAAAACCCUACAGUAAACGAGUUAUCAUGCUGAACUGUGUUGAAUUUAUCCAUGAGCAGAACCUUAAUGAAAUGGAAUAUAUACAGGAAUACAGGCAGAUCAGUUGUCAUUCACCAACUGCAAUUUGUAAUGUAUCUGUAAAGAUUUUAGCUCUUUUCAGUUUCUGCACUCAAGGUUAGUAUGAAUGGAGACAAUCUGAGCUAACAUUACUUACUAUGUAAAGAAAACUGUUUUGUCAAUAUUAAAGCACCUGCUCAGUGUUAACAAGUGAAUAUAAACUAGCAA